AUCCAUACUUAUUGAUUAGUUGAUCUUCAUUUGACUACGAUAUUUACAUUUUUUGUAACAAGUCAUUUUCUACAUGUUCAAUACCAACGAAACACAAACUGAACUAUACAAAGAUAUUCUGAGCUAUACCCAGAGCGCAGAUUACCAAACCCGACGUAUUUCAGGAAAAUGAAACGAAAUUUAAGAUAAUUUGGUUCAUUUCAUAAACCGAGUAUACAGUCAACUCAUAUGACUUAUUGUAGAGAGUUGUCAACAUGGAGAAGUUUUAUGCGAGAAAUUGAAAAACAUUCAGUUCUUACGAAACAUACAAUUCUUAAAAAAUAAGUAUAUCAGUAUAAAAGUAUAUCAUCAAGACUUUUUGACUCUUUUUUUAAUGUCUUCCAUCGUUUUUCCGAAUACUGCAUUGUUCAUUAGCUUGAAGAAGUUUUUCUCACUACGUUUUAUACUUGAUAAAGAGUCAACAUUGAACUCCUCACGAAAUGAACUGGUCAUUACGGAGCCGAGGCUUAUAUUUCUAACCCAGAGUUCAAAAAUUGCAUGAUCUUCAACGAGAAUUUGGUGGCAGUCGAACUGAGGAAACUGCAAGUUUAUCUAAAUAAACCGAUACAAGUAGAACAGACUAUGUUAGACUUGGCAAAGACUACCAUAUACGAUGUUCAUCAAGAGUGCAUCAACUACAUUCCAUUACCCAAUACAAAAUUGCUCUUAGCCCUGAAGAUGAUAAACAUUAUAUAAAUCCAGAUCCACACGAUACGCUUCUUUGGGGCCACUAUUCUAUCCCUCAAACAUUAAAUGCUAUGGAUAUUGACCAUUAACCCCUUUUGAUGAUUAUUAGUAUAUAUGUAUUUACUGCAGUUCAGCUGAGAAAAGAUUUUCAUAUCAAUAAUGAAUGUUCAAGUAACUGAUUUAUAUUAUUAAUAGAUUUGAGGUAUGAAGAUAGCUUUGAUAGCUGUAAAAUGUCUCGAUACUUGAAAAAUGUAAUGGUGAACACAUUAAUGGAAUGAUUAGAUAUCAAUAAAUAUGUUUUUGUGAUUUUAA